UGGGGAAUAUUGGACAAUGGGCGAAAGCCUGAUCCAGCCAUGCUGCGUGUGUGAAGAAGGUCUUCGGAUUGUAAAGCACUUUAAGUUGGGAGGAAGGGCAGUAAGCGAAUACCUUGCUGUUUUGACGUUACCGUCAGAAUAAGCACCGGCUAACUCUGUGCCAGCAGCCGCGGUAAUACAGAGGGUGCAAGCGUUAAUCGGAAUUACUGGGCGUAAAGCGCGCGUAGGUGGUUCGUUAAGUUGAAUGUGAAAGCCCCGGGCUCAACCUGGGAACUGCAUCCAAAACUGACGGACUAGAGUAGGGCAGAGGGUGGUGGAAUUUCCUGUGUAUCGGUGAAAUGCGUAGAUAUAGGAAGGAACACCAGUGGCGAAGGCGACCACCUGGGCUCAUACUGACACUGAGGUGCGAAAGCGUGGGGAGCAAACAGG
rnacentral:rRNA from 1 species